CGCACCACGUGGGGGGGCGCAAAGAGAAGGCUGAGCCGGCGUUUCCCCGCCAGGAGGCUCUCUCUCCCUGCAAAUGCGUUUCCCGGCGCCGUUUCGAGUUAAAUCAGCCAACACCUCCACCUGCCCAGGCCGAGUUUCGGGCCCACGAGAUAAAACAGCGUGGUGGUAAUGCUUUGGCGUGUGAAAUACUUGACCGGCUUUGGUCUCCUGCCCUGAGGGUGGCUGGGUCUUGGAGUCAGGAAAGCAGCAAAAUAACGGAUGGGAAGGAUGACACAAAGGGUGUGUUACUGACAGCGUUAUUUAGAUGGGGGUGGUGGAUGAGUUCUAAAGAAAUAGAGGAGGAGGAAGUGGUGUUUCUUAUGGAGGACUGCCAGCAAACUGUGCA
rnacentral:lncRNA from 1 species